rnacentral:misc_RNA from 1 species
GAACAAUUAUGAGUUAUUUAUAUCGUAGAAAUUCAGAUAAAUCACAGUUUAAUUAUGGUAUUGAUUGUUAAUUUAUCCUUGCUCUCUGCGAUAGGUGCAAAUAGGUCAUCUUGUUAUGUCUCUCUUCCAUUAUAAGGACGUUCAAUUUACUGGUUAUUUUCCUCUAGUGAUAUCUUCAUUUAAAGAUGUUUGUCGUCUUCAUUACAGUACAAGGCUACUGGUACGCAAAGCAAAUUUCUAUGUUCUUUAUGUAUUUGGUACACGCGUGUUCAAUUACUUUGUUGCAUUCCAAUUAAGUAAUGUGUAUAUAUAACUGGAUAGUUUUGUUCGCCCUUUGUAAAAUUAAAUGUUACGAUCUACUGCAAAACUAAGAGACUGUUACCAGAUUCUUGAUUGAUUCAUGUUUCAGUGAAGGUAAUUUGGGUUAAUUUAUUAUAUUACAUUAAUAUUUCACCUGUGAAAGGGUAAUAUGAUUUUGAUUAUCGGCAUCCCGUUUGUGACAUUGGUCUGUUUUGUAGGGAGACUUAUUUGUUGGUUGAAUGUUACUUAAGUCUUAUUUUUCCCUGUAAAAUUAAGUACGAUUGAAGUUGGUGCUAUUGCUUGUGCUGUUCAAUUGUUCAACUGCACGUGUUCCUAAACUUAUGUAAAUUGCAUUUAGUUAAUAGUGUUUAUUGCGUUGAAUGAUAAAAUAUUGAUGUAAUAUUGUUAUGUAAAUUAUUUUUUCUGACUUCACAGUCUAAAUGUCAUGUUUUAGUCUGCAGAAACAAAAUGUUAGAAUAAAAAUGAUUAUCUUC